AGCCGCGGUUCCAUUCCGACUAUAAAAGCCUCUAACCCGGCUCCCUUAGAGAGGAGCUCGCUGCCCACACAGCACCCACGCCCGCUCUUCCGGUGCUGGGUGUCACCGACGCCAUCGGGGCCACGGCGCACACUCACGGGCACGCAUGCACGCCUACACGCACAUUGCUCUCAGCGAUGUCUCAGCUGGGCUCUGUGAGACUCAGGCAGCUGGCGGUUUCAUCGAAGAUGGAGGGCUGACACACCCUUCUGCCCAGGGGUCAGAGAGUAAAUCUCGCAGGGGCCCGCUGAACUCUUUGAAAGCUUCAAAGAUGGACUUCCCUGGCGGUCAAGUGGUUAGGACUUUGCGUUUCCUCUGCAGGAGGCCCAGGUUCGAUCCCUGG
rnacentral:lncRNA from 1 species